AACAAAUGACCUAACACCGCACCAACAAGGAAAACGAAAGGAAAAAAGAACAGAAGCUUUUACCGAUGAUGUUCAUGUAAAGAGUCUCCUUUUCUUCUUCCUCUUUCUCCUCUUCGUUUUUCCUAGUCAUCUCUUGUGAUUUAAAGUAGCCCUGAAAUCCAUCUAAGCCUACUAAUCGGUUAAAUGUCUUGGUGUUACUUUCUGAAUCAUUUUUGGGGGACAUCUCGUCCACUUGAUGGAUGAUGACCAUUCCAAUGAACAGUAAUUUAAAUCAUUCAUCUUGGGAGCGAGUUCAGCACCUCUACAACAAGAAUGUUGAGUUGGGGAGUAAACGGAGAAAAGACGCACAAGCUAAAGUUCCUUCUGAUCCAAGUGCAUGGUAACAAAUGCGAGAAAACUACGAAAUUAUGAUCCUUGAGGAUCAUGUUUUCUCUGAACAACAUGAAAUAGAGUAUGCCCUGUGGCAGUUGCAUUACAGGAGAAGUGAGGAAUUGUGGGCACACUUCAAUGCUGUUGCAAAUUCUAGUGGAUUAACCAAUGGAAAGGUUCUCUCUAAUGGUGGACCAGAUCGCAUCACAAAGAUCCGAACGCAGUUUAAAACUUUUCUUUCAGAAGCAAUAGUUUUUUAUCAUGAUUUGAUGUUAAAAAUUAGGUCCAAGUAUGGUCUUCCACUGGGAUAUUUCUCUGAUGAUCCAGAGAAUCAAAUUCCUUACUCUAAAGACGGUAACAAGUCUGUGGAGUUGAAGAAAGGAUUGACAUCUUGCCAUCGUUGUUUAUCUUGGCGAUCUUGCUCGUUACAAAGGCUUAUAUGGUGAGGGAGAUUCUAAAGCUUGUGAUUUUGCGGCUGCUUCGAGUUAUUACCUGCAAGCUUCGUCACUUUGGACUUCAAGUGGUAAUCCUCAUCAUCAGCUUGCAGUACUGGCUUCCUAAUCCAAUGAUGAGCUGGUGGAUAUUUAUUGCUAUUUUCGCAAUCUUACAGUAGAAAGCCCUUUUGCCAUAGCAAUGUAUAACUUGAUCAUUGCAUUUGAGAAGGUAACCAACCUAUUGAGAAGACAUGUCAAGGUCUUGCUGGCAGCUAGGUUAAGAUCUUUGAGUGAACCCCCUAACCCCACCCAAAAAAAAUUGUAGGAUCAUGUCUUCUAGGUAUUGUUUACUGCAGACUGAAAUCAUGGCUUGGCGGGAUCUUGAGAGUGUAAGUAGUCUAUGUUACUUAUAGUCAGAUGCAGGAAAAGGUUAAAAAAAAACCAUCGUUUAGAAUGACUUAGAAUUAUGUCAUAUACAUCUGUUCUGUUUUUUUUCGUUUUAGAAAUGUGGUGAUGCUAUUGCAAAUAUCUUUUAGUAGUGUGGUGCUAAUUGUGGUACAUCUAUAAAUGAUUUUGGUAAAAGCUAAGGAUGUUGUACCAUAUGCUGUUCUAAUGUAGGGCCAUAUUGAAAUUUUAUGUAAAAGCAAACCAUAGACAGGAGGUGAAGUUGGUUUGUUGCUUGGAGGAAUUUUAGUUGUAUUCUAUAUGCAUAGAGCUGUACUAUGCCCUGUAUUAUGCUCAGUACUUGUGGCCUUUUCAAAAUAUGCCUCUAGUAAAAUUGUGACAUACAUGUGUAUCAUAUUCUGAACAAGAG